CCCAAACCCGCCAGAGACACCCCGAAUCCGCUGGUCCCCUCCCCUGCUCCUCUCUCCUUCUUCCACGUCACACUCCGUACGAAGCUUCAUCAUUUCUACGCGUUUUCUUGCUCUCCAAGUUCGAAUCGAAUGAAUGGGGGCCGUAGAUUGAAUGAAUGUCAAUCUAGACCCUCCAUUUGUUCGAUUUCGAACUAUAAAAAGAGAGAAAUCAGAGGAAUUCGGGGGUUUUUUUUGGAGAGAAUUUUCGAAGAAAAAUCAGAGAAGAGAGAGUUCGGAAAACGAGAGGGCUAGAAAAUAUUAAAAAAAAAAGUAUAUUAGCCUCUGAUUUGUUCAACAAGAAUGGAGUUUAGUUAAUGUCCGUUGACUGCUCGUGAGGUUCUUGUUCGUGGUUCCAAAUCCAUUUUCGUUGCUGUUUUGUCCUGCUACUGGUUCGCGAUAUUGCUGUUAUUUUGCUGGAAUUUGGAGUAAAAGCUUUGUAUACGCCGAAUCUUCUGUUCUAUCGAAAGCUUAAGCUUCAACAGAAUCUGAUCAUACGGCCUUAAGGAACUGAGAACAGGAAGGGUAAGUCAAGGAACUGAAAUGAUCUGAUUGGAAAGUUUAAUAGGCUGUUAACAAGUCCAUUCGUGGCUUCACUGAGUCUUUUCUGACUUCCUUCUGAAUUUUGUCUCGUUUGGUUGUCGAUGUAUCUAGCUUGAUGUGUUUGAAGUAUUUCUUUGGUUCAAGUUAUGAUUGAAAGUUUGCUUUGUAAAUGAGCGUUAUGUGGAAUUAAAAUGAGACGAAGAGAUCUUUUUAGUUUAAAAUUAAUCCUUCAUGCAGUAGUAAUGUUACUUCUAGUAGAUUAGAAAGUAUUUUCAGUCCCAGGAGAUUAAGGAGUGUGCUGCCAUAUGAAUCAUCUUAGUAUUUUGUUGGGGUAACUUGAUAAAUGUUGGAGUAAAAAAGACGUGGAUCGAUUAUUUUGUGUGAUUAAAUUAUGAGCCUUUCGGGAUGGGGCCGCAGCAAAGUUGAGGAUUUAAUAAGGACUCGGGGUGUUGGGAAGUCUUUAAUGGCUCUUCCGAUGCUUCUGAUCCAUUUUACCAUUAUUAGUUGUUUCAACUUUCCUUCAUUUUGUCUCUUCAGUUGUUUUGAAUGCUUUCUGCUGUGUCGUUUUGUUGGAUCCAUAUUAAUGCUUGCUUGAUGAUUUGGCCGGGGAGUUGGGAUCUUAAAGAAAACAGAAUUGAAAUUUAGAGAACAUGUUCACUAUUUUAUUUUAUUGUUCUAAUCGCUAGUAGCAUGCUUAGGCCGACCACACUUGGGUAAGCAAGCCUUAGGAAUUUUGUUAGUUUCGAGGCGAGAGGUCGUUCCCUUAGUUAAAUUUAUCCGAGGAAUGCCCCGAAGGACUUGUAUAUAUUUUAUUCCGGGAAUGCCCCGUAGUACUUAUAUUUGGAGGCCAAAAGUAGAGCUUGCAGUAUUUUAUUUUUAUUUUUAUUUUUCUUUUAUUAGGUGGCGACUCUGAGUUAAUCCUUUUGAACACACAAUUUUGUCACUUUUCAAAUUGAAAACCUUUUUCAAGCUUUUACUAAAUCGUUUUAUUAUUUUAAGAGGGUUUAGUAAGGUUUGGUUAAAAAGGGGGUGUGACAAUAUUUUCCAGACACUUUUCUCAUCUAAUUUUAGACGCAUUUUUAUUAUAUUACUAGUCUCUCGGCACGUGCGUUGUACGUGUAUACCACGUCAUAUAAUACAUGAUUUAGUAAAAUAUUCCUUUUGGUAAAAUAGAAAAAAAAUUAAUAGCAAAUUACAUUUCCCCUUGAGCAACUAAUCUAUAAAGGAAACCAAUAGAAAAUGUACAUUAACGCUGACUCGAACAAAUAGUGUUAGGGAGAAAUUAAGCUACAAAAGAAAUCUAUUAGAAAAUAUGUACUAAGUUUGGAUUUAAAAGCAACAAAUUAAGUCUCAUUAGCUUUAUAUCAAAAGUAAAGUUUGAUAUGUGCAGGAAACAUAUACAUUAUCAAUUUCGGUAUUUUUUGAAUGGUGUGGUUGAUUGGUUUAUUAUCUUUUAUUUUUUUAAAGAAAUUUCAUAGGCAUUUUUAACAAAAUCUCAUGAUAAAGUAAUAGUUGAUCAAACCUACAUUUUGAAAUUAGAAAUUGCAUAAUUACAUUAACUUAUCUAGCUAUAUAGUAAAUCAAAUGAACAGUUUUUAUGAGAGCUUUUGUACUUUUAACUUAUCUUUCAUUUGUUAAUAGUUUAUCUUUUUUCAUAUUUUGUACUCUUUUCGGGCAAUAACUCCAUUAUCGAGUAAAACAUUUUAGUAUGCACAAUGUUUACUAAAUGAGUUAAAAUUUCUUUGAAUGAAACAAUGCUAAAGAUCUCACGUCAAAACGAUUCAUCAUCUAUGUACUAAUUACACUAAACAAUAAAUAUUCUAUCAAAGAGUAAUUUUUUUCAAUAUUUUUUGUUUCUUCAGUUGUUAGUUGGCUUUACUAUAAUAUAUGAGACACAUAACACUACUCUAUAAGCGCUCCUUUCUCAACGUAAACCUUUAGGGUUGUAAAUAAUAAUGAGAAUAUGGUUGACCUCA